rnacentral:rRNA from 1 species
AUUAAAAAGUUUAUAUUAAUUAAGUACUAAUUAAAGAAAAAUUUAAUUUAUUAAAGAACUUAUAGGUAAAUAGUUUAACUGAAGUAAUAAUAAUAUAAGUAUGUACCUUUUGUAUCAUGGAAUUAUUAGAUCAAACCUAAAAUUAAUUGUCUAGAAAAUAAGUGAGCUAAUAAGUAACAGAUUUUAGUCUAAAGAUAAAUUAAUGUGGAAAAAUUAAUAUCAGAUUAUUUUUUAGUGGGGAUAUCCUUUCAAACUUAUAGAUAUCUAGUUAAAAGAAAAAAAAUUUUAGAUUUGCCUUUUACAAAAUUAAAUUGAAAUUAGAUUUUAUUUUUUUUUUAAAAGAGUUAUUUUUUCAGGGAUAAGCUUGGAAAAAUUUUUAUAAGAAAAAGUUUUUUAUAGAUUUACGUAAGCUUAAUAGUAGCUAACUUAAUAUUUUGUUAAAAAAGAAAUCUUAAAGAUAAAAAUAUUUAAACUUUCUUUAAAAUUAAAUCUUUUUACUUAAUUUAAUUUUAAAUUAAUGAUAAUAAUGUAGUUAUGAGUAAAUAAUUAAAAUAAAAAUUAAUCUUUACAAGAAAUUAAUUUAAUUCAAUUUUUUUUAAAGUAAAAUAAAGGAACUCGGCAAAAAUUAUUUUCGCCUGUUUAUCAAAAACAUCGCUUUUUGAUUAAUAACAAAAAGUCAGUCCUGCCCAGUGCAUGAAAUAAUGUAAACGGCCGCAGUAUCCUGACUGUGCAAAGGUAGCAUAAUAAUUUGUCUUUUAAUUGRAGAAUAGAAUGAAUGGAUAGACGGAGAUCAACUGUCUCUAUUUUAUUAAAUUGAAAUUAAUUUUUAAGUGAAAAAGCUUAAAUCAAAAGAAUAGACAAGAAGACCCUAUCAAUUUUUAGAAAUAAGUUUAUUAAAAAAUUACUUUCUUUGGCUGGGGCAGCCGAAAAGGAAAUAAAUCCUUUUUUUAUUUACAUUACAAAAACAUAUUAUCCAUUUUUUUUGAAACAUAAAUAAAAUACUGUAGGGAUAACAGCACAAUUUAUUUUUAGAGUUCUUAUUAGAAAAUAAGAUUGUGACCUCGAYGUUGGACUAAGGUAACUUAUAGGUGCAGAAGCUUAUAAAGUUAGACUGUUCGUCUAUUAAACCCUUACAUGAUCUGAGUUCAAACCGGCGUGAGCCAGGUUGGCUUCUAUCUUUCUUAAAAAUUAAGUUUCUAUUGUACGAAAGGAUCCAGAAGCUUAAAUAAUUUAAUUAAUAA